rnacentral:tRNA from 1 species
GUGGUGUAUUGUUCAACAUACUUGCCUGGUAAGCAGGAGGGCGUGGGUUCAAUCCCAAUC